rnacentral:pre_miRNA from 1 species
AGCUUUCCUAAUCUGUGUAGAGAUUUUGUCGGACACCAAUUUAUUAAAGCCGAUCAAACUUCCAACAUAAGUGAAGUU